UAUAGAGGUCUCAAGCGUUGUUCGGAUUCAUUGGGCGUAAAGGGUGCGUAGGCGGCGCGGUAAGUCGGGUGUGAAAUCUCGGAGCUUAACUCCGAAACUGCAUUCGAUACUGCUGUGCUUGAGGACUGGAGAGGAGACUGGAAUUUACGGUGUAGCAGUGAAAUGCGUAGAGAUCAUGAGGAAGACCAGUGGCGAAGGCGGGUCUCUGGACAGUUCCUGACGCUGAGGCACGAAGGCCAGGGGAGCAAACGGG
rnacentral:rRNA from 1 species